rnacentral:rRNA from 1 species
UACGAAGGGGGCGAGCGUUGUUCGGAAUUACUGGGCGUAAAGGGCGCGCAGGCGGCUCUGAACGUCAGAUGUGAAAGCCCCGGGCUUAACCUGGGAAUUGCAUUUGAUACUCUGGAGCUUGAGUACGGGAGAGGAGAGUGGAAUUCCCAGUGUAGAGGUGAAAUUCGUAGAUAUUGGGAAGAACACCGGUGGCGAAGGCGGCUCUCUGGACCGUAACUGACGCUGAGGCGCGAAAGCGUGGGGAGCAAACAGG